UAGGGAAUCUUCGGCAAUGGACGAAAGUCUGACCGAGCAACGCCGCGUGAGUGAAGAAGGUUUUCGGAUCGUAAAACUCUGUUGUUAGAGAAGAACAAGGACGUUAGUAACUGAACGUCCCCUGACGGUAUCUAACCAGAAAGCCACGGCUAACUACGUGCCAGCAGCCGCGGUAAUACGUAGGUGGCAAGCGUUGUCCGGAUUUAUUGGGCGUAAAGCGAGCGCAGGCGGUUUCUUAAGUCUGAUGUGAAAGCCCCCGGCUCAACCGGGGAGGGUCAUUGGAAACUGGGAGACUUGAGUGCAGAAGAGGAGAGUGGAAUUCCAGGUGUAGCGGUGAAAUGCGUAGAUAUAUGGAGGAACACCAGUGGCGAAGGCGGCUCUCUAGUCUGUAACUGACGCUGAGGCUCGAAAGCGUGGGGAGCAAACAGG
rnacentral:rRNA from 1 species